ACGCUCGACACCUACGGGGGCAGCAGUGAGGAAUAUUGGUCAAUGGGCGCUAGCCUGAACCAGCCAAGUAGCGUGAAGGAUGAAGGCUCUAUGGGUCGUAAACUUCUUUUAUAUAAGAAUAAAGUGCAGUAUGUAUACUGUUUUGUAUGUAUUAUAUGAAUAAGGAUCGGCUAACUCCGUGCCUGCAGCCGCAGUAAUCUGAGCGGGCUGGCAAGGC
rnacentral:rRNA from 1 species